GUGCUUGCUUUGACAGUACAUUACUAAAAAUUGGAACAAUACAGAGAAGCAGUAGCAUGGUCCUUGUGCAAGGAAGACAAGCAAAUUCAUGAAGUAUUUCACACAAAA